GUCAGCUGGAGUGCUUGGAGCCCUCAGGAAGCACUAGGAGCAUCCUUCAAUGGAGGUACACAGUCGGGGUGCCAUGUGAUCCGUUACAAUAGUCAAUAGUUAAAAUGAGAGGUGUAGAUAUGAUAUAAAAGGUGCACAUUGCAUAAUACUGUUGGGGGAUAUCAGUAGAUAAAACAUAUGUAUAGACGUUACUCACAUGAUGGCUGUAGGAAGUUGAUAGAAUGAAGAGAGCUGUCAUUCAAUAUAAUUAAAUGAAAAAGCAUGCAAUACUUUACAAUUAAAUAAACAAGAAAUC